GCUCCACCAGCAGCAACAGCAGCGCCACGCCGCGACCGAAAGACGACCCGCGCCAAACCACGCGCCCUCCGCGCACUGGAGCACGGGCCCAUCGACACGAGGUUCUCUCCGCGCACGAAGGGACUCCAGCGCGGGCGUGAAGGCGUGCGAUGCGAGCGACGUGCGGCAGCGCGGGCCGCAACCCCGGGCGCCGGAAAGCGGCAUCGGAGGAAAGGAGGCGCACCGCGAGCGAAGGAGACAGCGAUGUGGGCGAGGACCGGCAACAAAGCGGCACGCGUCGAGCAGCACACGCAUCGUGGUCUGCCGCUAAGAUACGCACGCACAAGACCAGGAUCAAAGACCGACAUCGAUGGCAAUUCACAGGCUGUGACCAAAUAUGGAAGGAUGGGUGAAUCACUCAAGGCGUCACAAAGGAACUGGCGACUCGGCCACGAGAUGACACAACGCGCUCCCGAGAAUGACGUCACCACGUCACCUGGGGCUACACUAUAGCAAGCCCGCACUCAGCUGUACUGCCGUCAAACUCACGAUCGAUAAUCGGUGAGCACGCCUACUCAAACAUAAGGGUCCAUCAGUUCAAGUCAAGGCAGUUUCCAAGAGUACUUGAGUGUAGAAGAAAACCAUUUGAGAUAGUGGAACCCCUUGUCGACAGUCACUAGAGCUACGAAGCUUGGAGGUCUUCAGACAUCUACACGCAGGAAACAGCCAAAACGGCUGUUCUCGGAACGUUUUCUGGAGUUCGAGUUGACCAAGACUUUCGGAGACAAAGAUCAGUCAAUCAAGAGUAACUGCGCUUGACCACUCCGACCAGUCACGAAGGAGGGUUCAGAGCUUACCUGUCCCGGAUCACGAGAGGGUCACGGCGCACCAGAACAUUCACAACGCCAUCACGAGCUACAACCAAGGGUCUCAGAAGACUUCGCUGCUCACUCCUUGUAAAGACGCUCGCUUAGUUAGGGGGCCCAGUUUACGAACUCUCCGCAGUCAUCAGUCGAGAAGGAUAAGCAAACUGAACAUUGCUGCCUUCGUACGAGUUGGCGACGUUUUGACAAGGUUCUUCUACACCGCAACAGCGCAGUUCUCAGGAAGGGCAUGCAAGAAGUUGGUUCUAAGUCGCACCGGUGUUCCCUGUCGGCCACUAUACUCAGAGAGUGACCUCGACCGUACACACUGACUUUAAAGAAGCACAGUCUUCAGUACGAGCUCGGAAGACAGCAAGGAACUGCACAUCAAUGACGGUUCUCAUAACAGUGCAAUUUUCAAGAGGACUUUCAUCCCCUAGUGCCGGGAAUGCCAAGUUUCGAUGGCUGACGCGUGAGCAGAAGACACGGGAGAACACACAGCAGAGCCCGUCACGAAAUCCUGCAUCCAGGACAACGUCGCUGCAGGCGCCAACAUACCGCCAUCUACGUGGCGUACCGGUGACCUCGUGCCGUCCACGGGGGAAUCUGGCUGCGCAUCACGAAAAGCCGUCUGGUGCCAUAUUCUCGCAAACACAGUGCCAGGCACAUAAUCAACGAAGAAAGGCGACGUUUCGGAUCGCGCCAUCGCUCGUGGCCCCCACAUCGAGGCAGGUACGCAUCGCACUCGACCCCUGCCGCAACGCCGGGAAAGUGCCGUGACUCGGACCAGGGAGUGACGUCAAACCGCCCAACAGGGAUACCAGAUCCACGCCGGCGCAAAAGCAGCCGCCCACGACGUCGCAGCCGUUGGCGAAGCAGACGACGUAGAUUGACCGAUGGCGAUGCUGAAGCGCGGUAAAACGUCGAGCAAAACUAGGAUUCCCCUCCUCCACCUCCCUUCUACUACUUUGGCCUCGCCAAUAUAUAGCGUAGCGCGGCCAAUUUCGAUCCAAUAACCCACUUUCUAUAAAUAAUGCGUGCGAAGAAAAAUAAACACGACGUUAGCUGA
rnacentral:lncRNA from 1 species